GUGAACGCUGGCGGUAGGCCUAACACAUGCAAGUCGAACGGCAGCACAGUAAGAGCUUGCUCUUACGGGUGGCGAGUGGCGGACGGGUGAGGAAUACAUCGGAAUCUACUUUUUCGUGGGGGAUAACGUAGGGAAACUUACGCUAAUACCGCAUACGACCUACGGGUGAAAGCAGGGGAUCUUCGGACCUUGCGCGAUUGAAUGAGCCGAUGUCGGAUUAGCUAGUUGGCGGGGUAAAGGCCCACCAAGGCGACGAUCCGUAGCUGGUCUGAGAGGAUGAUCAGCCACACUGGAACUGAGACACGGUCCAGACUCCUACGGGAGGCAGCAGUGGGGAAUAUUGGACAAUGGGCGCAAGCCUGAUCCAGCCAUACCGCGGUGGUGAAGAAGGCCUUCGGGUUGUAAAGCCCUUUUGUUGGGAAAGAAAAGCAGCAGGUUAAUACCCCGCUGUUCUGACGGUACCCAAAGAAUAAGCACCGGCUAACUUCGU
rnacentral:rRNA from 1 species